rnacentral:rRNA from 1 species
GACGAACGCUGGCGGCGUGCCUAAUACAUGCAAGUCGAGCGGAUGAUGAAGAAGCUUGCUUCUUCUGAUUUAGCGGCGGACGGGUGAGUAACACGUGGGCAACCUGCCCUGUAGAUUGGGAUAACUCCGGGAAACCGGGGCUAAUACCGAAUAAUCCAUUUCCUCACAUGGGGAAAUGUUAAAAGACGGUCUCGGCUGUCACUACAGGAUGGGCCCGCGGCGCAUUAGCUAGUUGGUGAGGUAACGGCUCACCAAGGCGACGAUGCGUAGCCGACCUGAGAGGGUGAUCGGCCACACUGGGACUGAGACACGGCCCAGACUCCUACGGGAGGCAGCAGUAGGGAAUCUUCCACAAUGGACGAAAGUCUGAUGGAGCAACGCCGCGUGAGUGAAGAAGGUUUUCGGAUCGUAAAACUCUGUUGUGAGGGAAGAACAAGUACGAGAGUAACUGCUCGUACCUUGACGGUACCUCAUUAGAAAGCCACGGCUAACUACGUGCCAGCCGCCGCGGUAA